AAAUGCCAAAUGUUGAGUUUUCUAUAGGGCUUUGAGGAGACCUCACAACCAACCACAUCAAUCGAUUUACAGCACUUGUACCUAAAGCUCUUUUAAAAACAGAACUUAUUUACCUUGAGAAGAAAUCCACAGAUUGCCAUUUGUCUUUCUCAUCCACCAGAAUAGUUGUUCAGGACUGCACUGAUCCUUCAGAUCUAUUUUUGGGUGUGUGGAUCUCCUCUCCUUCAUCCAUGGCCCUCAUCUGGGUAUGCAUUGCGUUCCUCAUUUCACUCUUAAGAAGAAGCACAGGACAGUCAGUGGACCAAACAUCUGGCAUUGUGACUGUUACUGGAGGACAACUGGUCUCUCUCAAUUGUUCCUAUGAAAAAGAGUUUCCUGUGACAAAUGACCUUUUCUGGUACAUUCAACAUCCUGGUCAACCUCUGAAAUUCUUUUUGGCAUCUUACUUGAAAAACCCUCAAGGAUUCCAAGCUACUCACGUUUCCCAUGAAAACAAAAAGGGGACUUUCAAUUUGCAGAUACGUGCCUGCCAACUGAAGGACUCUGCUGUCUACUUCUGUGCCUCCAGUGAGACACUGUGUGACAAAGUUAACAAGAAGCCAACAGAAAAGUCACAAAGGGGGAGAAAAGCAGUGAAGGUGUUCUCAGAAAUGAAAAUUCCAAUAGUUCCUUUGAGAUUAAGGUUCAUGAACAUAGAUGGACGUAAUCCAGAUCAACCUUGCAAUGGAAUGGAGAGGUUGACAAGAUCAGAAAUGAGGAGGUGAUCAGCUGCCUGAGAAAGCCAAGGGAAA